UUCUUAUUCAUAUUUGGAGUUUACUGGGUUGAACAUGGCUGAUUCUUUCUUAAUUAUCAUUGUUCAUCUAUUCCUCUCAUAAAUUUUAUUCUUUCCUAAGCUCUCAUGUUUGCAACUGUCUUUCUUCCUUAUCUGUGUGUACAGUUCCUUUAAGUAUCUUCUACUAAUGCUGGCUUAGUGAUCAUGAAAAGCUUUAGCUGGUGCUUAUCUUGGAAAGUCUUUAUUUCUCCAUCAAUUUGAAAGGAUGUUUUUGCUGGAUAUAGCAGUCUUGGUUGGCAUUUAUUUACUUUUAGGGCUUAAACUAUAUCAUUCCAUUCUUUUCUGGGUUUUAGGGUUUCUGCUGAGAGGUCUCAUGUAAUUCUGAUGAGUUUGCCUUUGUGGGUAAUUUGACGUUUUUUCUCUUGCAGCUUUCAAUAUUCUUUCUUUCUUCCAUAGUCUUGGUACUUUAAAUAUAAUGUGAUCUGAAAAGUUCUUUUCUGUAAUAGGAAUUCUAAAUGCCUCCCAUACUGUAUUUUUCCCUAGAUUUGGGUGAUUUUCUGCUAUAAUUUCAUUGAAUAGGUUUUCUACACCUUUAGCUUGUAUCUCAUCUUCUUCUUCUAUGCUAUGGAUUAUUACAUUUGUGCUCUUGAUUAUGUCUCAGAGUUCUGGAAAGUUGUGAUCAUGGUUAUUAUUUUUUCUUUAUUGCUGUCUCAAUGCUGGACUUCCUUGGCCUUGUCUUUGAUUCCCAGUAUUAUUUCUUCUGUUUGAUCUAGUUUGUGGGUGAUGCUUUCUGCUGUGUUCUUGUUUGAUUUACUGAGUUUUUAACUUCCACUAUAUCCAUUCAGUUUUUUUUUAAUCUCAAUUUUCUUGCUGAAUUUUUCAUCCAUGAUGCUGACUUUCUUGUCCAGGUAUUGCAUUGACUUUCUAACUUCAUUUGUCUAUUUGUUUAAGCCUCCUUGAAGUCAUUAAUCAUUUAUAAAGCUGGAAUUUUGAAUCCUUCAAUUUCAAUAAUUUCAGUACCUUCAUAUUUGGUAAUUGAAAAUUUAGGAGUUUUGGGAGGUGUUGUACUGCCUUGCUUUUUCAUUUUUCUUGUGUUUCUGUUGGAAUGGAGAUGGCUUCCAGUUUUUAUGGGGGUCUUCUUAGUGGAAAGCCUUGUCUUGGGAUUUUGAUCCCCACUAGUACUCAGAGGAGAGAAAGAAGACAGAAGUAAUCAAAUCAGUAAUUCAAAAACCAAACCACAUAUUUAAAUGAGUAAAAAAAACUGGAAACAUCAACUAUAACCCCAGAAAGUUAGGGAGAAAAAGGAACUAAGGAUACUUAAAGAAUAAAUUCAGAGUUUGAAAAUUACUAAAACUAAAUGUAUUAAUUAUUAAGUAAUCAUAAAAAGGGGGUAUAAGAAAACAAAAAAGAGAAAUAAGUAAGGUAGGGAAGAGAAGAAAAGUAUAUGGAAUGAAGAUAUAAGAAACAAUAGUGAGAGAGAACAAAUUAAGUACCAAGAAAGACAAAACAGUUACACCAAACACACAUAUAUAGUCAAUAUUUCUUCCUUGCUGAGAAGAAGGUCCCCAAAUGGUCCAAGUCCAGAGUCAGCAGUUUCAGAUCCACUCCAGAGAUGGCAAGCCACUGUUCACCGCUGAUGACAAGGAAGUUGUGGUUGGUACGGAUAAGCUUCGAGUAACCGGGCCUGAAGGGGCUCUUUUUGAACACUCCGUGGAGACCCCCCUUGUUACAGCCAACCCAUUUCCAGAUCUUAGGUAAGAAUUUUUGUCCCAGUACAAACUUUCUUAUAAAAGACAGCUGGGUGUGUGCUGAAGUAAUGUGCUCACAGUUGUUACCAGAUGAUUGCAUUGACUGUCUUUACUUUUCCCUUUCUGCACAGAAAAAGUCAGUCAAAAAUCCUACUGAAUCUGAGUCCCCUGCCCCCUUGACUCUCCGUACCCACUGCUUCCCUCCAGCCUCUGUACUGUUUAGCAGCCCACUCCAGCCUCCAACUACUCUUCUCCAAUCUGCCCUUCACAUAUGGCGGAGUGACUUUGUUCAUGUGAGCUGUUUAAAACACUUUGAUUACUCUGCAUCAAAGGGCUCCAGUGGCCCUCCAUGUUCAGGCUGUGACAGCAGCAACGAUCUGCUCCUCACUUGCCCUCCAGCACGUGGAGGCUUGCCCAUAUGCGCGCAUGUGUGUGUGUGUGCGCGUAUACAUAUAUAUGUGUAAUGUAUAUGUCCAGUAACCACAGAACUUUUAAAGUUCGUUAGUUAAGGUGAUAAUUUAAGGAGGAAGCCACAGUUUACCACUUGAGCCACACCUCCAGUCCAUUUUGCUCUGGCUAUUUGGAUAUGGGGUCACAUGAAUUGUUUGCUCAG